rnacentral:lncRNA from 1 species
ACCCCACUCUCCAGCCUCAUCACUGUGGGGCCAUUGGUACAGCCCCCCCCCCCCACUUUCCCGAUGGAGAAACUGAGGCCCAGACAGGGGGCCCUCACUCCAAGCUACACAGGUGGUGGCAGAGUUGGAAGGACGUGUCCAUCGAGACAGGCGGCUGUGAAGUCGAGUUUGUCCCCCUCCUGCUGCCAGUCCCUCAGCAGAGCAUCUCCUGGGGGACCGCCGGCCACGGGGCAGCGGAAGAGGGAUGCCGGAGAGUGCCCCAUUGGUCACGUCCACUGGCAACUCGGCUGGAGGCAGGACAGUCCUGCCACACGCCCAGAAGGGUUGAGGCCAGCCCUGAGGACAGCACAGCUCGGAGCCCGGGGUCCCCCCCUCCAGGCCGCCGGCAGUGCCCAGGGCCUGGCCCUCCCUGUGAGGUGCGGGCGCCUCCCAGUCUGACAUUCUGUGACAAAACCAAUUCCUGCGUGUGUCCUGCGGUCACAGCUCCCUGUCAGCGCCGGCUCCGGCCAUCGCGGCCACGGUGGCCCAGCUCUCCCAUCUGUCCAGCGGGGACGGCGGCGGCCUCCCGCUCGGGGUCCCGAGAGAGGACGGAGGGGACUGAGCUCGCGGCGCUGAGCAGGACGCGGGCUGAGCACCAGCCGCACGAUCGGAGCCGCCGGGCGUUGGGAAGCCCCUGCCGGUGGACGCCGUGAGCACCUGCUGCCACCCGCAUGAGCCCUAAGGGUUUAGGAAGGAUUGUCCCCGUUUUUCUGGCUGGAAACUGAGAUUUGGAGGCGGCACAGACAUUGCCCGAGGAAGCCAGCAAGGACCCAGCCGAGAUUCGAACCCUGCGCCAGAAGCCCCCAGCUGUCUUGCGCAGGCGCAGUCUUGGGUGCCAGAUCUUGGGGUGAAGCCCGGCGCCUUCCCAGCAUCGGGGCGGGGGCCGAGGAGAUGCCCCGACUGGACCGAGGACUCGGGUGGACCCCCUCCCUCGGGCCUCAGCUUCUCCCCCGAGACGACGCCUGCGCAGAGG